rnacentral:tRNA from 1 species
AAUUGCUGCAGUAAUACGACUCACUAUAGCGGAUUUAGCUCAGUUGGGAGAGCGCCAGACUGAAAUCUGGAGGUCCUGUGUUCGAUCCACAGAAUUCGCACCAG